rnacentral:rRNA from 1 species
UAUCUCUGUAGAGUCUGCAUAUCAAUAAGCGGAGGAAAAGAAACUAACUAGGAUUCCCUCAGUAACGGCGAGUGAAGCGGGAAGAGCUCAAAUUUGAAAUCUUCAAGGUUUUACCUUGACGAAUUGUAGUUUAAAGAAGUGUUUUCUGUUGGAAUUUUGGUAAAAGUUCUUUGGAAAAAGACAUCAAAGAGGGUGAGAAUCCCGUAUUUGGCCAUUAUUUCCAGCUUUGUGAUACACUUUCAAAGAGUCGGAUUGUUUGGGAAUGCAGUCCAAAAUGGGUGGUAAAUUUCAUCUAAAGCUAAAUACUGGCGAGAGACCGAUAGCGAACAAGUACCGUGAGGGAAAGAUGAAAAGAACCUUGAAAAGAGAGUUAAACAGUACGUGAAAUUGUCAAAAGGGAAGCGUUUGACACCAGUGUUGUUUUCUCGAAAAUCAAUUAAAAAGAAUUGGAUUUUGUGUUGUAUUGACCUUAUAAGCUUUCUGCACUCUUUUCAUGUUUAUUUUUAAUGCACUUUUCGUUUAACAAGUCAACAUCAAUUUCUUUUGUUGUAAAAAGGGUCAUUGGAAGGUGGCUUUCUUUUCGGAGAAAGUGUUUAUAGCCUUUGACUUCCUGCAAUCGGAGAGACUGAGGUCUGCAGCGUAGAUCCUUCUGGGAUUAGAUUACAUUUGUGCUAAGUUAUAGCCUUUUCAUAGACAACUUGUUGACUAUGAUUAGUCAUUGUAGCUUACUCGCUUAUGUAUUUUACCUACGCUUAGGAUGUUGAUCUCUCACAGUCGAGC